rnacentral:tRNA from 1 species
GGAGGAGUGGCAGAGCGGUCGAAUGCGGCGGUCUUGAAAACCGUUAGACCCGCAAGGGUUUCGUAGGUUCGAAUCCUACCUCCUCCG